GGUUGAUGCGGGAGGACGCAGCACCUGAUGCCAUGAGAGCAUUUGGAUUUGAGGAGCGUGUUAUCAAGGAACUGCUAGAGUUGUAUGGUGAGGGGGGAUGGUUUCUGAUCGAAGAGUUUAGUUACUCGGUGCUUCUAAAUAAAUGUCUUGAAAAGCAAGGAGAGCAAGACAAUCAUGUGGCUGAACAAGAAGAACAAGAAGAAAUGGCUGAGGAACAAAACCUAGAGAUGGCUCAGGAAGAAGAAACAGAAGAAGUAUAGGAGGAUCAGCAUCUUGAGGAUGUAAGAGACAAUAUUGGUAGCAAUUCAACAACUUUAGUGGGAUGUGGUACUGAGACAGAUACACAGACUUGCCAAACUGAUGCUUUGUCGAUCUCUAGCGAGACAGAGAUCAUGGACUCAUCACCAUCACCUUUUCCAUCGGGAGAAGUAGAAGAUUAUGAAUCACCAAAAGCUUUUCAGUCAUCGGAUUAUGCACACCAUUCUGUUGGAGGUGACUAAGUAACAAACUCAUAGCGAUAAACAUCACAAACACUUGAAUAAUUCUUCCUAGUGUUGUAAUUAUCGUU